AGUACCUCGUCCUGUAUUUCAUAAGUUAAAUCUGUAUUUUUUCAAGCAUUCGUAUUUUGGUAGAUUUGAUUACAGGAUUUAGGUAUGUCUAAUAUCGUUAAAGGUAAAGUUAAGUUUUUCAAUGAGUCAAAAGGUUUUGGCUUCAUCGAGCAAGAAUCAGGCCCAGAUGUAUUCGUACAUUUCAGCGCGAUUCAGAGCCAAGGUUUCAAAACCUUAGCAGAAGGCCAGGCUGUUGAGUUCACAGUAGCUCAAGGUCAGAAAGGUCCUCAAGCUGAGAACGUUGUAGCUCUGUAAGAGUCUACCGCAGCUAAAGAAUCUAUAAGCCGUGCCCUAGGGCGCGGCUUUUU
rnacentral:sRNA from 1 species